GCUUGUGUGGAAUGCCUCUUUCAUCCUCCAACACCUAAAAUUAUUUGGUAAUUUAUGUGACCUCAAAAUUAAUGGGCCAAAAAAUAAUAGCAAAAUAUUAUUGCAAUUUAAGUAAUCGUACCUUGAUUAACACUUGAUGGUCUUGAUAUAUUGUAAAAAGUCCGGCAAUUUUUGGUUAGAGCAUGAGCCUUUCUUGAAAUUAAUCUUUGCAUAAGGCAGCCAACUAUAUGCCUCCCUAUUCAAACUCAAUACAUUAAUUUAAGCACAAGAAGUUUCUGUCAAAAUAAGAUUAAAUGAAAUAAUUUUUUAUGUUGAGUACAUCAGAUCAAAGAUAUAAGAAAAAGGUAAAAGAAAGAAAAAUUUCAGAAAUAAGCCAUGACUUUUUGAUCGAAAUCUUCUCCUCCCAUGUGAGUUUAUCCGUAAUCAUCAUAACCUCAAAAAAACCUUAAUAUAAAACACCUAAUACAUAUUGUUCUUCUUGUUGGACUUGAUUAGAUCACUGAACGAAAGUAAAAUAGUUGGGGCAUGUCGAUCAUUGGAGAUCAAAAUGAGAUUGACUCAAACAGGACAACAUGCUACAAAAUUAUACAUUUUUACUGUUGCUACUUUCAUAUUAUUCGAUAAGGAAAGAUGCAAUUUAGUGUCUGC
rnacentral:lncRNA from 1 species